rnacentral:rRNA from 1 species
GAUGAACGCUGGCGGCGUGCCUAAUACAUGCAAGUCGAGCGAACAGACGAGGAGCUUGCUCCUCUGACGUUAGCGGCGGACGGGUGAGUAACACGUGGAUAACCUACCUAUAAGACUGGGAUAACUUCGGGAAACCGGAGCUAAUACCGGAUAAUAUAUUGAACCGCAUGGUUCAAUAGUGAAAGACGGUUUUGCUGUCACUUAUAGAUGGAUCCGCGCCGCAUUAGCUAGUUGGUAAGGUAACGGCUUACCAAGGCAACGAUGCGUAGCCGACCUGAGAGGGUGGCCGCCCACACUGGAACUGACACCGGCCCCGGCCCCCGGCGGGAGCCGCAGGGGGGGAUCCUCCCGAAAGGGGCGAAGCCCGGCGGGCACACCGCCGGGGGAGUGAUAAGGUUUUUGGGAUCUAAAACCUGUUUUUUGGGGAAAAAAAAAAUGUGAAAGAACCUUGGCCUGUUUGCCGGUUCCCUAAAAAAAAACCCCCGCCAACCUCCGGC